GGGGCUUCUGCUCAGUGGUAGAGCAUUUGCUUUGCAUGCAGAAGGCCCCAGGUUCAACCCCUGAAGACAUCUCCA